rnacentral:rRNA from 1 species
GACGAACGCUGGCGGCGUGCUUAACACAUGCAAGUCGUACGGUAAGGCCCUUUCGGGGGUACACGAGUGGCGAACGGGUGAGUAACACGUGAGUAACCUGCCCACAACUUUGGGAUAACGCUAGGAAACUGGUGCUAAUACUGGAUAUGUGCUCCUGCUGCAUGGUGGGGGUUGGAAAGCUCCGGCGGUUGUGGAUGGACUCGCGGCCUAUCAGCUUGUUGGUGGGGUAGUGGCCUACCAAGGCGGCGACGGGUAGCCGGCCUGAGGGGGUGACCGGCCACAUUGGGAAUGGGAUACGGCCCAGACUCCUACGGGAGGCAGCAGCGGGGAAUAUUGCACAAUGGGCGCAAGCCUGAUGCAGCAACGCCGCGUGCGGGAUGACGGCCUUCGGGUUGGAAACCGCUUUCAGCAGGGACGAAGCUUUUUGUGACGGUACCUGCAGAAGAAGCACCGGCUAACUACGUG